GCGCCCCCGCUCCCUCCCUCGCGCGCGCGGCCGAGAGUGAUGAGAGGCGGCGAGGAGGGAGGGCGAGACCGGGACGGGGCUGGGGCUGGCAGCGGCCGCAUCAUCGCGGAGCGACGCGAGCAGAGGGGCCGCCGCGGGAGAUUGAAGUGUCUGCGCCGCCGCUGGGGCCGCUGUGAGGCGCGGAGGGGGCGGUGCCGCCGCCGCUGCUGCUGCUGCUGCCGCCACCGCAGCUGUUGCGCGGGGGGAGGAGGAGGAGAAAAAGAGGAGGGGGCCGCCCGUCCCUCCGCUGGCCGGCUGCGCGCCCGGCCAGGGACUCGCCGCCCUGAGCGGGGAGAAGCGGGACCGCGAUCCCGCCGGAGCGGUGCCUGGGAGCUGCUGCCCGGCCCUGCGGAGGAGCCUAGAAGCCGCGGGGUUUAUGGAGCUGGAAGUCCAGGCUGCGGAGUAAAACUUGGCUGUUUCUCCCCGCGAUUCCCACAUGCAAGUUGAUAACGUGAGACCGGCUCCUUUUCUUAUCGCUGCUGCUACCUCGAGUGCCGGGGGCCAGCGCUCUGCCCCCCCCAGCCGCUGCUGUUUCCUUUACCCGGCCCCGGAGCUGCUCGGUGGGUUUCCCUUGCCAUGUGGGGCUAGGAGGGGUGCAGCCAUUCUCCACAGGGUGAAGCGGUAAACAUGGAGGCGGCGUGCAGAGCCGACGGCGGGGAGCAGAGCCAUCAAGGCGGCGGCGUGGACACCCCCGGGGACACUUCUAUGGACUGCUACCUGCGAUCUCAGGGCUUGUACAGAAAGAGAGUUGCCAAGGAUGGAUCUUGUCUUUUCAGGGCUGUGGCCGAGCAGGUAACUGCCUACCUAAACAAAGCUACCUCUCAUGAAAGCAUGGGAAGUGGAUCUCAUUAGCGGGUGAUAAUUGGUGGUAAAAUGCUGACAAGUACAGGUUAAGGUUGCCCAGUCUUGUGCCGGGGUGUGGGGGGAAUAAUUUCUGCCUUGCGACUAGGGAGAAGUUCUGUGUGUGCAGCCGUUUUCUGCCAUCAAGAAAUUGUUACCUGUUUUGACCUUCCACUCCCUCCUCAGAGCUUUCUUCAAUGUAAGAUUUCAACAUUUGGGUGCAACUGCUUCCGCAUGAGGCUCUUCAGGAAACGGAAUUUGGCGUAAAGAGCUGAAAAGCUUUGCUCUCAGUUUUGUUAAUUAGCUUAUGAUAAAAUUAGAGAAAGUAAUUUAUUUGCAGUUCUUCCUGUUGAAUUCCCCUCCCCCAUUUCAGUGUUACUGUUAAAGGAAAAAAGUGACAGCGUCAUCUUGUCUUAAACGCAAACAAACAGCAGUGGGAGCUCUGGUGCUUCUGAUUGUGGGAACCCAGAUUCCUAUGCUAAUUAUACACAGUUCGCUUUUUUUUUAACAUUACUUUCCUCACUGAAUUUCUAAGUUCAGGAAGCAGACGCUAUUGAUCUGAAGUGAGUGGUGUUAUUAUUUUAUUUCAAGGGAAUAAUGAAUAUACAUUGAUACUCUGGUGUUUUUAAUUAGCAUAUAAGGUUUCACCCACACUACAGUGUAUGUAGAACUUUUUUCAACUAUAAACUUUUAACAUCCGAUUUGUAUUUUAUUGAAGGGAAGGCCUUUAAUUCUGAGUUAUUAGGUGUUUAUCCACAAAUUUGGCCUAAUCUCCAUAUUCUUCAUGCAGGAAAAACUGCACUGGUCCGAAUUUGAAAGUGUUCUAAAUUCAGGGUAGUGUAUAAGGGUCGGAAGAGAGGCUGCAACUUGAAUUGACUGGAAUUUCCCUACGUUGUAGUGAGAGUGCAGAAAAAGUCAUGUUGGAGACAAUUGAACCUAUGAUGAAAGUAAUAUUUUUUUCCAGUAGAGGUUUGAGCAGGAGGUAGAAUGCACAUGUCGUGUUGGGAUCUGAAUUCCUGGCUUCCAAGUCAGUGUUUGGGCAACAGACAUACACAUCUUAAAGUCAGGAGAAAGUAAUCCUGCACUCACUUAGGUUUGGUUGGGUUUCAUUUGAACAAAUGCAUGUUGGUAGUUGAUUUCCUCAUCCACUCCUGCGGUAACUUCUUCAAUUAAUCAAAGUCCCUUACAAAGGAGUUGGUUAAAGAAUGACAACAAAUGCUAUUCAUUUUGCUCAGUAAAUCAUUAUAAAAUUGAACGUCUG
ensembl:lncRNA